CGGAGUUUAUCUUGAAGACAGUGACUUAAUAAGUGGUGACAUUACGACCAACAACAGUAACAAUGAAGUAGGGUAUUAUGUCCGACUGUUUUAUUAAGUUAUUUAUGUAAAACGAAGCUAGCUUGUUUCUUAGUUAGCUCAGCCGCUAACUAGCUAGCAUGCAUACGGCAGGGAGGAGCUUGAUACGGAAGCCGUGAAGUCAACCGCGCUGGCAGCGCGUUCUUUCUUUUCGUAUCAGUCUGGAAAGAGAGCGGAGGUGUUUCUGCGCAGGAGCUGUUUGUCUCUAAAUAUUAUAACACAGUUUUUUAAAAGAACUGUCUGUGGUUUUGGGACGACAGUGAACCGAGAAUGAGUAAAGCCCGGCUGAAGGAUACGAAGUAUUGCUGUGAGUGUCCGCCUGGAGGAGUCGCAGCUGGAUGAAUUCAAUCCAAGGAUGAUGGUAUAAUCGCAGGAUUAAAGCGGCUGUGGAGCAGCUGGUGAGAAUGGGAGUGAACCCUGACAUGGUGUUUGGAUGAAGACGAGUCUGAGAUCAGUUUGAAGGCCAACGCAGAGGAUCGCAGCUCAUUCUGGGACUCCCGUUAAUGGAAGGCAACGAUUUGCAUUCAGGUCUGCUUCCCAGAGGCCAAAUAAAGAACAUCUGUGUGGAAAGUAGUCCUUUUGUGUUUGUUACAUUUGCUAAAUAAAGUCUGAAUUGUGCAUAAAGUU